UAAUUUUCACCCUGAACUCACAAUUCAGCUAGACUGCUGGCCAGCAAAGCCCAGGGAUCCACCUGUGUCCACCUGCCCAGCUCUGAGAUGCUCUGGAAUUACAAGCACACAACACCGCGCCCAGCUUUUUGUCACACAGGUGCUGGGGAUCAAACUCAAGUUCUCAAGCCUGUUUGGCAAGCAUUUUACCAGCCGACCUGUCUCCUCAGCCUUCCUUCCUUCAUUUUGUCAUAGCAACAAGACAAAGUUGUUAACAUAGUACUCUAGAGGUAUUUAGGAGUUCCUUUGAUGCUUUUGAUUCUGUGCUGGGCUGGAACAAUGACAGAACAACUGAAAAUAUAGUAUUGAUUCUGGGAGGAACAACUGAAAAUAUAGUAUUGAUUCUGGGAGGAACUGCCUGUCCUGAGUCAGAAGCACACAGAGAUCCCUCUUCUGCUCAUUUCCAGCCCAGGGGCAGAGAUGGGUCUGACAAUAGUUUCCCCUCAGGAUCCCGAAGCUCUACAAGAUAAACAAGCAUUUUCUCUCCUAAGAAGUUGUCACAUCUUUUCCUGUGGCAGCUGCGUGAGGUUUGUACCUGAGUGAUCUAACAGGGGCUGAAGGAGGAGACUCGAGGGUGCUGAUGAGGUAGAGCAGCCGUGAGCCGGGAACAACGUCUGAAGCUGAGAGGAUAACAUUUUGAUACAAGGCUACAUAGUGUGCUUGGUGGGAUGAGGAUGAUUCACUCCAGAGAAUUCAUGACUAGUCGUUCUUAAUCUGGAAUUGGAAAGAUCCACAGCAUCUACGUGGCCAUUGGGAAUUCACAAUCCCCUGAAUGUCCAUGAUGGGUGACUCCAGCUACUGGUCUGAUACUUGGAAGGAGCGAAGCCUGAGCCAGGGAAAGCCACCAUUGUCUUAUCCAGCUCCGACUUGUAUAGGUUUCUUCAAGGCCGUCACGUGAGGAGGAAUGUGUCACCUCUGUGAACCCACUAUCUAAGCUUGUCUCUGGACUCUCAAAGUUCAAGGGUUUCAGCAACACCUAUGCACACAGCCCUAUCCCAUUGGAGUCACAUUUCCUCACCAGGACUGACUUUGGCCUGAGUCCUGUCUGAUUCAGGAACUCUGUCUUUACAUUGCUAUUGCUACUUCAGGCCAUCUCUCCUCCUAAUCUUCAGCUCUGUCUUCUGGUUACAGGAGAUGCUGCAAAGCCACAGGCUAUAUAUCCUGUGACACCUGUUUUUAUCCUUAGCACCUGCUAACAUUAAUAUGAUACCACAGUUCCAUUCUCUUGGUCACAGGGCUGUGAACCUCUGUCACCAUAAGUUGGUGUCAGGACACUUCUGUCACUGCGAUGAGCCUGUCCACGUCAGGGCUGAGGAACUGUCUCAGUCAACACAGUGUUGGCCGUGCAAGCAUGAGGAUCGGAAUCCAAUCUCUAAGACCCAUUUUUAAAGUCUGGGUGUGGUGGCAGGGCUUGUAGUUUCAGUGCAGGGAGCUGGAAACACCUGGGCUUCUGAGGAUUGCUGAGCAGGCGGUCCUGCCUAAUCUGUGAAUUCCAGGCCAGGCAGAGACCUGCCUCAAACAAAAAACCCCCAAACUCCAAAACCAAAGUGGAUGUCACCAAACAGUGGCAUCUGAAGUUGACCUCUGGCUUCUACAUGCACAAUGUACACAAACAUACACACAUAUGAACACCCCCCAUCACACCUAGCCACUAGCCACUAAUACAAACACACAAUACACACAUGAUGGCAUAUA